UAUAUGCUAUAUUCGCACUGCAAUAUUCAAAUACAUCGCAAACUUUUCCAUUCAGGAACACACUCGGAAACAGCAAAUGUGUGAACGCAUUUGUAGUCAGUUAAUAUUUAAGCAGAUUCUAAAAUUAUAAGGCCUUUCAAAUUUCUUGGACUUUUAAACGCAACAACAAAAUAAAGACUUCGGGUAUGGAAAAUUUACGAAAAAUGGGCGUAAAAAGACUCAACUUUUGAAGGAUUUUGUCUCUGUUUGAUUAAAUCGAAGCAAAUUUAGAAGCUAUUUUAAAAACCAUUCCAACCAACCAUUUAAUAUUUCCAUUGUGGUAUUUUUUAGUUUCGUGAUGCUAACGUGUAAAAUUUUACUAUAUUCGGCGUUAGCUUUACGUACUUUUGAAGGUUAUAUGUACGUACAUACGUAAGUAUAAUUAAAUGUACAUUCAACAUAUGAACAUGCAUACAUAAAUAAAUUGAAUGUCAUAUUAAAAAUUUCGAUGCCAACGUUGAUAAAAAGACGCUAGUGUUUUACUUUUAACAAUUUAUACUGUACUGAUUCUAUAAUAUACACAUAUCAUUUUGUUGCCAAAUGUUUCUAUUAUUUGGGGACCAUUGUUGAUAUUUAUAAAAAUUGUUUUCCAAGGAUUUCUUUAGUUCACAGAA